GACGAACGCUGGCGGCGUGCUUAACACAUGCAAGUCGAGCGGAAAGGCCCUUUCGGGGGUACUCGAGCGGCGAACGGGUGAGUAACACGUGAGUAAUCUGCCUUGGCUUUGGGAUAACUACCGGAAACGGUGGCUAAUACCGGAUACGACCACUCCUUGCAUGAGGUGGUGGUGGAAAGUUUUUUCGGCCAGGGAUGUGCUCGCGGCCUAUCAGCUUGUUGGUGGGUAAUGGCCUACCAAGGCUUCGACGGGUAGCCGGCCUGAGAGGGUGACCGGCACACUGGGACUGAGACACGGCCCAGACUCCUACGGGAGGCAGCAGUGGGAAUAUUGGACAAUGGGCGGAAGCCUGAUCCAGCAACGCCGCGUGAGGGAUG
rnacentral:rRNA from 1 species